UGAAUGGAUUAACGAGAU
rnacentral:snRNA from 1 species